GGCGGCACUGGGAAGCCAGCAUACGGUUCAGAGACAGUGGUGGCUCUACUCACCAAAAGGGCUUGGUGGCUGCCAAGUUAGUCCUGACAUCCUUCAAACUCCAAAACAGAAAGAAGAGAGGAAGAAACAAGAAGGCACUUUCAACCAGAGACUCCUUCAUUGCCAAGGCUGCUUUAGACUUCACUGCAGUAAGGAGAUUCUGGACUUCAUGGCAAAUCAGCUCAGCUGCAGCCGGCACCCAGGCACAUUUGGAGUAUACAGCUCAGAGGG
ensembl:lncRNA